rnacentral:lncRNA from 1 species
UAGAUUCAAGUUGAAAAAAAGGGACUUACCAAGUAAGCACGAAAAGGGAAUCCUAUUUCAGGAAUUCAAGCAGAACAAACAGGAGUUACCACAUUGGGAAGAAGACGAUACAAAAGGAGAAGGCUUAUUCUCUAGCUGAAAGAAGGAGGUAUACAUGCAUAUAUAUAUACAUAUAUAUAGAACUACUUGUUGAAGCUCAACCAUCAAUACAAAAUGGAGAUCAUAACGUGGCAAGCACAAUGAGAAAAUAUGAUUGCGUGUAUGAAUUGGAUAUAACGAGUUAAGAAAGAGACGUGGAAAAACAGGGUGGAAGAGGAAAUGACGACAAGAACUGUGAUGUGGAUAUUCGCGGUGAGGUUGGUUUUUUGUGUAUUCAUGUCUUGGCUUCGAAAAUCGGUUGGAGCUUUUGUUGUUGAGAGUAAGUUUUGAACAUUUUUAAGUUCUAGUUAACACAUGGAAAGAAGAAUUUAAUUUUUUGUAUACCAAAAUUAGAUUUUUACAAAUAACCAAAGUUAAGUGUACUCGGGCAAGAGUAGUACUAGGAUGAGUGAUCUCUAUGAAGUCCUCAUGUUGCAUCCCUCCUUUUGGUUGAUAUUCGGUAUGAUACCGUUGAUUUGAUUCAAUUUUUUUUUUUGCAGAAACGACAUUCGGACGGAGACAUUGUUAAGACAGGUGAUGGAGGCGCUUAGGAUGGACAUGGACUGAUCAAAGGUUGUGUUUGCAUUAUACCAUGAUGCAAGAAAAAUGAACAACAUACCUAGUACCUAGUGUAACUCCACAAAUGAGGGUCGGAGAGGGUGGUGCAUACGCAGCCUUAACCCUACCUUUCGAAGGUAGAGAGGAUGCAAGAGACAUAUCGGGAAAACCUAUACUUGUGAAAAGAUGGGUGCUCUCUCUCUUUCCAUCCAUCUAAGUCUUAGAUGACAGAGUUACUCAAUACCUACGAUGGCGGGAGGUAGCAGAUACCCCACACGUCUUAUAGGAGUGUACGAUUGACUCGGUCAGGUGGCAAACAAGUGGUUGAAUGCAAGUUGAUCGAUCCAGAGGACAUCAUUAUGAAAAACAGGUUCGAUCUUCAACAUUUCAUUAACACAGUCUUUCCCCUUUGCGAUUACACAUUUUCUUGUCAUAUUGAACUAGUAAACUUUUAACGUUUUGAAAUGAAGCGUGUUUUGAAUUUAUUUACUUGAAAUCUUGUUACGUACACAGUUGAAGUCUAAAAUAUCUAGAGGACCAAGACUAUGAUCAGAAACACAUAUUACAGAUUGCACAUACAACAUUUUCGUAGUUCUUGAACAAAAGGUUGAAUUGCACACUAACGAUUCAAUAAGGAUAGUCUUUUUUUCUGUAGUAUGAGGAUCCAAUAAGGAUUCGAUUCCUCCUCUCUCGAGUGUGCCUGGACGUGCUGUUUAACUUGACACAAGAUAUCUGAACAGAAGACUUUCCGAUUAUACAAUGUGUAAAUCUUCCAAGCACAAACCUCUGAACCAUUCAAGAUAGUGAGAAUAAAUUGAGAUGAAACUCGAUUCAUCAUUAUCGUUACGUUGAGGAUUAGCCAGCAGUAUUUCACCUGUUGGAAGGUUAGUAAAAACUACACUACAUAUUAUUGGUAUAAAAAGCUUCUUAUAAAUCAUCCUAUUUUAUUUUCAAGAUUACAAAUAUGUAUUAUAUGGGUGAACUAAUUGGUAGAAAAUGAAUAUAGUAAUUUUUCAUUGUUAUUUCUUUCAAUAAUGAUAUAUUAAAAACGGGCAUAAUACAUAUAUUGAACCCUAAAUUUGGCUUCAAAUUUUAAUUUUGACCUCCAACUUUAAUAAUGCACGAACAGACACUUUAACUAUCUAACUUUUAAAUAAAUAAACAAAUGAGUCUUACAUAGCAAAAUACACGUAGGACAAAAAAUGACAUGUAAAACAUGUGUGUCUAUUUGUUCAACUUUAUACAAGUUUAAGUGUCUACUUGUGCACACCCAAGGUUGAAGGGUAUAAAUGUAAUUUGAAACCAAGUUAAAGGACAUAUUUCUGUAUUAUGCCUAAAAAAGUCAAGUCAGAUUCGAACUAGCAACCUCAAAUACACUAAAGGUCAAAACCAUCAAACCACACAUUGAACGAUGUUAUGUUUUCAUUUAAUUUAUAUUUAUUGUUAUCUCUUUUUUUUUUUCUUAUACUUGUUUUACUAGAGUCAAUUUUAUAUGUAUUCAUACAAUUUCUUCUCGCUUUAUACAAAUACAAACGCAUUUUAUACAUUUGAGUUUUUAUAAAAAACAAGAGAGGCGAGCGAGACUGCCACCUGACAAGCGAAAUUCCACCCGGGAAAGUGGCGAAAAUAGCUAUAGUUUGCUAUAGGACACAAUUAAAUAAAAAAAAUAUUUAUAACAUUUAAUUUGAAUUAAUAAUUUGUUAUUAUAUAUACAAUUUUCCCAUGUUAUUUCAUUCUGGUAGGGUUUGGCCCAAUAUUGUUGGAAUAGAAGACCUAAAAAUUGUUUAGAAUAAAUUUUUUAAUCAAUGGAGAUACCUGAAGGCGCGGUAAUCGAGAUCUUGUUGCGUCUACCAUUGAAGUCUCUCUACGUAUGCAAGUGUGUCUCAAAGUGGUGGUGUUCAAUCAUCUCUGAUAUUGAAAAACUUCAUCAUGCUCGCAAUUUAGGCAUCUUCGUAUCCAAUUUCGGUUGUUCAAGUUUCAAUUACUUGUUCCAAUCGAAGCUUACUCUGAACAAUAUCUCUCCUACACAUUUUAUCAAACAGUUGGUGGGCGGUGCCG